AAUUGGAGGGCAAGUCUGGUGCCAGCAGCCGCGGUAAUUCCAGCUCCAAUGGCGUAUAUUUAAGUUGUUGCAGUUAAAAAGCUCGUAGUUGAAUUUCGGGAUCAAUAUUUCGGUCAUGCCGUUGGUAUGCACUGUUAUCAUUGAUUUCUCACCUUCUAAAGAACCGUAAUGCCAUUAAUUUGGUGUUACGUGGAAUUAGGACUGUUACCUUGAAAAAAUUAGAGUGUUUAAAGCAGGCUCACGCUUGAAUACAUUAGCAUGGAAUAAUGAAAUAGGACAUCCGAUUCUAUUUUGUUGGUUUCUAGGAUCGAUGUAAUGAUUAAUAGGGAUAGUUGGGGGCAUUAGUAUUCAAUUGUCAGAGGUGAAAUUCUUGGAUUUAUCGAAGACUAACUACUGCGAAAGCAUUUGCCAAGGAUGUUUUCAUUAAUCAAGAACGAAAGUUAGAGGAUCGAAGACGAUCAGAUACCGUCGUAGUCUUAACCAUAAACUAUGCCGACUAGGGAUCGGAUGAUGUUAAUUUUUUAAUGACUCAUUCGGCGCCUUACGGGAAACCAAAGUGU
rnacentral:rRNA from 1 species